rnacentral:rRNA from 1 species
CCUACGGGAGGCAGCAGUGAGGAAUAUUGGUCAAUGGACGAGAGUCUGAACCAGCCAAGUAGCGUGAAGGAUGACUGCCCUAUGGGUUGUAAACUUCUUUUAUAUGGGAAUAAAAUGUUCCACGUGUGGGAUUUUGUAUGUACCAUAUGAAUAAGGAUAGGCUAACUCCGUGCCAGCAGCCGCGGUAAUACGGAGGAUCCGAGCGUUAUCCGGAUUUAUUGGGUUUAACGGGAGCGUAGGUGGAUUGUUAAGUCAGUUGUGAAAGUUUGCGGCUCAACCGUAAAAUUGCAGUUGAAACUGGCAGUCUUGAGUACAGUAGAGGUGGGCGGAAUUCGUGGUGUAGCGGUGAAAUGCUUAGAUAUCACGAAGAACUCCGAUUGCGAAGGCAGUUCACUGGACUGCAACUGACACUGAGGCUCGAAAGUGUGGGUAUCAAACAGGAUUAGAUACCCCUGUAGUC